UCUCAUUCUUGACAAAAAAAUUGGUACCAAUCUCUCUGUUAUUGUAUGAUUUAUGGGUGUGUGCUCGUAUUACAUAAUUGUUGACUUGCAAUGAUUUUGGCUUUUGCAAGAUAUCCAAGUAAACUUUUAAAAGCUGCUUUACUUCAUGCCUUGGUAUAUUGCUUUAUGUGUAGAGUUUGUUUGUGUUGCAUAAAUGAAAAGCAAGAAAGUUUGUCUAAAGGUUUCUUUCUUCUCACUUUGUGAAUGUUAGGUUGUUCAUGGAGUGUUUUCCUUUUGACAAGAUUUUUUUCUUCUUUAUUUUUUCUUUUAAUUUUUUGCUUUUUAACUCAGAGAAUUGAUAGUCUAGAAUGAUCACAGGAAAAGGAUUUCAUUAUACUUCAAGUCUUAAACACUUUGUUUUAACAGAAAACCUGUCAUAAUAGUUCUAUUGCAGAAUCACUAUGUUAGAGAUCUUGCUAGUUUACAUUCCAAUAUUGUUUUAUAACUUUGUUUGAUCUCAUUUUGGCAAGCUUUUGGCACAAAUGAGCUGCAUAUGUCAGUCAUGGAUAAGGAAACUUGCUCUCUGUUAGUGUCCAUUGAAAAAUCCUGCCAGGAAUAUCCAUUCAAUCAUUUUGAAAUUGUAUUAACCUUAAAGAAAGAUAAUUUUGCAAGCAUUAUCAAAGAAAAUAAGCAUUUGCCUUUAUAAAGAAAUAGAAGAUUGCUAUUUAUUUUUAUAAUGAACUUUGUCAUUCUGUCAAGAUGAUCUGCUGCAUAGGCAAGAUUAUCCAUGCAUAUGCCUGUGUUUGUGUACAUGCACAUAUGGUAUGUGGGUCAAAUAGUGUUAAGCAUCAAGUGCAAGUACACAUAUUUGUCUCGCAAAGAUUUGCGUCAUUAUAAAUGCUGAAGAUUAUGACUGUAUAUGGAUGACCAGCCCAGGACCUUGCUUAUGUGGGACAAGCACUGGUUAAUGGCAUCUCUCCUUUGAGCGCAAGUGUCAUACAUUGCGUGCCCUACAUGUUUACUGGAUAAUAUAUACUGGAAUGAAAGUACUCAUUUCUUGCUUGCAGAUUACUCUGAGUCUACAUCUAAGAGCAGUGUGCCUACCACUGUGGAAACAGCUGGAAAUACUGAAAUUAGGUUGAUAGAUGCACAGCAGAAUGCAGAUUACCUUGAUGAUAAGGUGACAGCUGCUUCCCUUGCACAAAGUAUUGAACAGAAGCCAAGUAACUCUGAAACGAGACUGAAGGAAGUAGCUGAAUCUGUUCCUGUACAAAAUCAAGCUGCGGCCCUUAAACUCCUCCAGAAAAUGAGUAGCUCAAAUCAAGGGCAUAGGCAUUCUAGAGGUCGGAAACAUAAAGGGAAGGGUAAACAAGAAGAGCAUCAGGUUUUCACUCUAGAUGAAUGGGAAAACAGGAAAGUUGGGGCGGAUCCUACAUUGAAAAAUAACCUUCCAGAUGCCAGUGCUGAUGAGGACAUUGCAUGGCAGCUUCAAAACCAACUUGAUGUGGAAGAUUCUCAUGUACAAAUGGGAAUGCAUGACGUGGCGGCUGACAUUAGAAUGAGCAUGUUUAAUUAUGAUAGAGAUUCUUAUAGUGUUCGUGGAAUGGAACAUGGAGGAGGAGGAUGGGGAAAGGGAAGAGGAAGGGGAAGGGGGAGAGGGAGGGGAAGGGGAAGGGGAAGAUCUAAUUAAAUAUAGUUUAACCUCGUUUAUUAUGUUUAUUUACCAUUUUGGUGCUUCAAAUUUGCGAAUCUAUGUAGGAAUUUUCUCUUUGGCCUAGUUGCACUUACCGCUUGGGUGGUUGAAAAAUAGAAUACAGAAUAUGGUUUCCAUGACCUUUUGAUCUGUAAUUUGUUAUGCCACAAGUAUUGGUUUAUUGGUAAAGAACAGAAAAAGAAAGGAGUGUAGAAAAAGGGGGAGAGUCGAAUCAAAAUGGCAAAUCCAUUUUAAUGGAGUGAGUGCAUUUGAAGAAGCUUAAGAAUGUGAGCUUUAUGCUGAUGUUUAUUCCUUCUUCGUCAGAUUGAAAGUUGUCAUUUUGCUUCGCGCAUUAUGUCAAUUAUUAUUUUUUUUAAUAACAUAAUAUAAUACAUAUUUUUUAAUUAUAUUAUAAAAUUUGUUAA
rnacentral:misc_RNA from 1 species